UGUCUUCUAAUUCGGGGCUUCCUUGCGUUCUAACCCAUGGUCUAUGUCGGAUGUGUGUUACACAGCUCCUACUCAAAGCAUACAUAUUUACUAGAAACCACGCUAAUCUGACAGUAACUGUUAUUGUUGCGGAAAUUCAAAAGGUUAAGCAGAUAAGAAAGCUGUACAGAAAUCUGUUAAAGAGGGAAAAAGAAAAGACAAAAGAAACCUUGCAAUGGAAGACGGAUGCAUUACCCUGGUAUUUGGCUUAUUUUUUGCCUUUUUAUUUGUAUUUGGGGGAGUACUAAUAUCACAUCGACAGACUAAUGUAAUAAAAGAUGACAAUACUGAUAACAGUGUAGACAUGGGCAACAUGAGACACAGUGAAGACAUGGACAACAUGAGACAAGAACUCCAACAAUGUAAAGCCAGCAUGACACAGAUAAAGCAAGAUUUCAUUAGUUUACAGGACAAUUUCACACAAAUCCAAGAAAAGAUCGAAAACUUUACGAAAGUUAUGAAUGGUUCUAUUAAAAAUGCUAGAGAUGAUUUCCUCCAUUUAAAAAGGGACAUGAAGAUCUUGAAUGGAAUGCAAGACAUCCAUGACCACAGAUAUAUAACAUAUUCUGGUAAGAACAAGUUUCGCUAUGCAAUAUUUUUUACUCAAAACUAUUAAAGAUAUUCUAAUAUUGUUAUAACUCUAUGUUUAUCUUAGUUGACUACAAUUUAGGCAACCAAAAAAU